UCCCGGACCGGGGCACGAACUAGUGUCCCCUGCAUUGGCAGGCGGACUCUCAACCACUGCGCCACCAGGGAAGCCCCUGAGAGGUGACCUCAGAGGAGGCUGAUCUGUCUGCCCUCUGGUUUCCCAGAAGAUGAUAAUCAUGCUGCAACUGAAAUUAUCCUUCAAGGAACUAAGGCCCCCACCCAGGUUAAGGAUGGUAACUUCAGACUGGGUACAAGAUUCCUGGAGCACCACCCUGUUACCUCACAACCAACAAAUCAGAAGACAGUCACACACCUUGCAGCCCUCAUCCCAGAUUCUCUCUGUAAAAACUCGUCCCCCAAAAACUAUCAGGGA